rnacentral:rRNA from 1 species
UGCAGUCGAGCGGAGUUGAUGAGAAGCUUGCUUCUCUGAUACUUAGCGGCGGACGGGUGAGUAACACGUGGGUAACCUGCCUGUAAGACUGGGAUAACAUUCGGAAACGAAUGCUAAUACCGGAUACGCAAUUGGAUCGCAUGAUUCGAUUGGGAAAGAUGGAGUAAUCUAUCGCUUAUAGAUGGACCCGCGGCGCAUUAGCUAGUUGGUGAGGUAACGGCUCACCAAGGCGACGAUGCGUAGCCGACCUGAGAGGGUGAUCGGCCACACUGGGACUGAGACACGGCCCAGACUCCUACGGGAGGCAGCAGUAGGGAAUCUUCCGCAAUGGACGAAAGUCUGACGGAGCAACGCCGCGUGAGUGAUGAAGGUUUUCGGAUCGUAAAGCUCUGUUGCCAGGGAAGAACAUUUGGGAGAGUAACUGCUCUCAAACUGACGGUACCUGAGAAGAAAGCCCCGGCUAACUACGUGCCAGCAGCCGCGGUAAUACGUAGGGGGCAAGCGUUGUCCGGAAUUAUUGGGCGUAAAGCGCGCGCAGGCGGACUUGUAAGUCUGUUGUUUAAACUCGGGGCUCAACCCCGAGUCGCAAUGGAAACUGCAAAUCUUGAGUACAGAAGAGGAAAGUGGAAUUCCACGUGUAGCGGUGAAAUGCGUAGAGAUGUGGAGGAACACCAGUGGCGAAGGCGACUUUCUGGGCUGUAACUGACGCUGAGGCGCGAAAGCGUGGGGAGCAAACA